UCUAUUCUGUAUCACAUUUGGGAGCAGGAGGUGGAAAGAGCAGUGUGUAGAGAUGAGAUUCAUCCUGCCUUUUCUUAUUCUGCAGUGCGCCUCACAUGGUGUCCUUUCCAGCCCACAGCUCACCCAGUCUGGCCCAGAACUGGUGAUACCUGGAGGGUCUUUCAAGCUGACCUGCACCAUAACUGGUGCCCAAGCUAGUGGCAAUUAUUGGGGCUGGAUCCGACAAGCUGUAGGAAAGAGUCUAGAAUGGCUGGGCAACAUUCGGCGUGCAGGAGAUGGAGGAAACGACUACAAUCCAGCCUUUGUUAGUCGAAUCUCCAUUAGCAGAGACACCUCCAAAAAUGCAGUAUACCUUCACCUGAACUCUCUGACAGCUGCAGACACUGCUGUGUAUUAUUGUGCAAGAUACACAGUGAACCAGACCAAAGGAGCAUCCAUGCAAAAACCUCACUCAGCUGGAUCAUUAUAAGAGUACACGUAGUCUUAUUAA